CCCUUAGAUGUUCUGGGCGGCCCGCGCACUACAAUGGCGCGUUCAUCGAGAACCAAGGUUGAAUUAUUCGAGGUAUUCUUGCAAAACGCGUCUUGAUUGGGAUAGAUCCUUGUAAUUGUUGGUCUUGAACGAGGAAUUCCUUGUAAGCGUGGUUUAUCAUCCCACGUUGAAUGCGUCCCUGCCCUUUGUACACACCGCCCGUCGCUCCUACCGAUGAAUUGUCCGGUGAAGUUCAUGGAGGGCUGUUUCACUGAGAUGUGCUUAAAGCGAGAUGAACCUAGCGGUUUAGAGGAAGGAGAAGUCGUAACA
rnacentral:rRNA from 1 species